GUUCUUUUAGUUGAAAACAACGCUGACUUUUCAGGUCAGUAGUCUUGGUUAAACCCCAAGUGGGAAUU
rnacentral:tRNA from 1 species